rnacentral:tRNA from 1 species
GUUGGUCGGCGCCUCCGCUUGGGUCGCCUUUGCAAUGGGCGCAGCGGGGGUGUGCUGCCCUAAUGCUGCCGUGCAAGUCGGCUGCCAAUUCC